rnacentral:lncRNA from 1 species
AAACAUUUUCCCAUUCCAUAGAAUAUUUUGUAGCAAUCAAUCUCCUGCACAAACAAAGAACAAUCUGUUAAACACACUCGCAUACAUAUAUAAAUACCAAUCUUCAAACACUCAUUAUUAUUAUCCUUUUAGGCCUAGGGUUCUCUCGAAAUCAAACCUGAACCAAGAAAAGCCACCCGUUGAUUUCUUUAUGAUAAAAUUUUCACCCUUUUUCAAAGAUUUUGAUUCCCAUCGGAAACCAAAGUUACCCAUCGCCAUCUCUUAUUAUCGUCAGAGCAUCUUUAUCAUCAUCUUUUUGCUAUUAAUUCUUGACCAAUCUUGCUCCAGUUCUUCUUCUUCUUCUAUUACAACCAACAACAGCAUCAUCAAGAAACACCAAAACCAAGGACAAGAAAAUCAAGAAACCAUCAUGAAGGUGCAUCCAAUGCCCAAGAAAAGAAACAACAUAACAAUCCAAUACUAUACCAACAACAUCAACAAUCGAAGGGACCCA